rnacentral:tRNA from 1 species
GGUUUAUAUAGUUUAUGUAAAAUAUUGAAUUGCAAAUUCAAAGAAACAGAUUUAUUGUUUAGGCUU